AGCGAACGCUGGCGGCAGGCCUAACACAUGCAAGUCGAACGAACUCUUCGGAGUUAGUGGCGGACGGGUGAGUAACACGUGGGAACGUGCCUUUUGGUUCGGAACAACUCAGGGAAACUUGAGCUAAUACCGGAUGAGCCCUUAGGGGGAAAGAUUUAUCGCCGAAAGAGCGGCCCGCGUUAGAUUAGCUAGUUGGUGAGGUAAAGGCUCACCAAGGCUACGAUCUAUAGCUGGUCUGAGAGGAUGAUCAGCCACACUGGGACUGAGACACGGCCCAGACUCCUACGGGAGGCAGCAGUGGGGAAUCUUGCGCAAUGGGCGAAAGCCUGACGCAGCCAUGCCGCGUGAAUGAUGAAGGUCUUAGGAUUGUAAAAUUCUUUUACCAGGGACGAUAAUGACGGUACCUGGAGAAAAAGCCCCGGCUAACUUCGUGCCAGCCGCCGCAGUAAAAC
rnacentral:rRNA from 1 species